rnacentral:rRNA from 1 species
AGAGUUUGAUCCUGGCUCAGAUUGAACGCUGGCGGCAGGCCUAACACAUGCAAGUCGAGCGGUAGCACAGAAGAGCUUGCUCUUUGGGUGACGAGCGGCGGACGGGUGAGUAAUGUCUGGGAAACUGCCUGAUGGAGGGGGAUAACUACUGGAAACGGUAGCUAAUACCGCAUAACCUCGCAAGAGCAAAGAGGGGGACCUUCGGGCCUCUCGCCAUCAGAUGUGCCCAGAUGGGAUUAGCUAGUAGGUGAGGUAAUGGCUCACCUAGGCGACGAUCCCUAGCUGGUCUGAGAGGAUGACCAGCCACACUGGAACUGAGACACGGUCCAGACUCCUACGGGAGGCAGCAGUGGGGAAUAUUGCACAAUGGGCGCAAGCCUGAUGCAGCCAUGCCGCGUGUGUGAAGAAGGCCUUCGGGUUGUAAAGCACUUUCAGCGGGGAGGAAGGCGGUAAGGUUAAUAACCUUAUCGAUUGACGUUACCCGCAGAAGAAGCACCGGCUAACUCCGUGCCAGCAGCCGCGGUAAUACGGAGGGUGCAAGCGUUAAUCGGAAUGACUGGGCGUAAAGCGCACGCAGGCGGUCUGUUAAGUUGGAUGUGAAAUCCCCGGGCUUAACCUGGGAACUGCAUUCAAAACUGACAGGCUAGAGUCUUGUAGAGGGGGGUAGAAUUCCAGGUGUAGCGGUGAAAUGCGUAGAGAUCUGGAGGAAUACCGGUGGCGAAGGCGGCCCCCUGGACAAAGACUGACGCUCAGGUGCGAAAGCGUGGGGAGCAAACAGGAUUAGAUACCCUGGUAGUCCACGCUGUAAACGAUGUCGAUUUGGAGGUUGUGCCCUUGAGGCGUGGCUUCCGGAGCUAACGCGUUAAAUCGACCGCCUGGGGAGUACGGCCGCAAGGUUAAAACUCAAAUGAAUUGACGGGGGCCCGCACAAGCGGUGGAGCAUGUGGUUUAAUUCGAUGCAACGCGAAGAACCUUACCUACUCUUGACAUCCAGAGAAUUUGCUAGAGAUAGCUUAGUGCCUUCGGGAACUCUGAGACAGGUGCUGCAUGGCUGUCGUCAGCUCGUGUUGUGAAAUGUUGGGUUAAGUCCCGCAACGAGCGCAACCCUUAUCCUUUGUUGCCAGCGAUUCGGUCGGGAACUCAAAGGAGACUGCCGGUGAUAAACCGGAGGAAGGUGGGGAUGACGUCAAGUCAUCAUGGCCCUUACGAGUAGGGCUACACACGUGCUACAAUGGCGUAUACAAAGAGAAGCGACCUCGCGAGAGCAAGCGGACCUCAUAAAGUACGUCGUAGUCCGGAUUGGAGUCUGCAACUCGACUCCAUGAAGUCGGAAUCGCUAGUAAUCGUAGAUCAGAAUGCUACGGUGAAUACGUUCCCGGGCCUUGUACACACCGCCCGUCACACCAUGGGAGUGGGUUGCAAAAGAAGUAGGUAGCUUAACCUUCGGGAGGGCGCUUACCACUUUGUGAUUCAUGACUGGGGUGAAGUCGUAACAAGGUAACCGUAGGGGAACCUGCGGUUGGAUCACCU